rnacentral:rRNA from 1 species
UGGGGAAUAUUGCACAAUGGAGGGAACUCUGAUGCAGCGACGCCGCGUGAACGAAGAAGGCUUUCGAGUCGUAAAGUUCUUUUAUAUGGGAAGAUAAUGACGGUACCAUAAGAAAAAGCCCCGGCUAACUACGUGCCAGCAGCCGCGGUAAUACGUAGGGGGCUAGCGUUGUCCGGAAUCACUGGGCGUAAAGGGUUCGCAGGCGGAAAUGCAAGUCAGGUGUAAAAGGCAGUAGCUUAACUACUGUAAGCAUUUGAAACUGCAUAUCUUGAGAAGAGUAGAGGUAAGUGGAAUUUUUGGUUUAGCGGUGAAAUGCGUAGGUAUUAAAAAGAAUACCGGUGGCGAAGGCGACUUACUGGGCUCAUUCUGACGCUGAGGAACGAAAGCGUGGGUAGCAAACAGG